CAUGUACUCCCUCCAUUCCACAAUACACGCCUUCCAUUUGUCAAAAUAUAGAUGUAUCUAGAAAUGUUUUAGUAUAUAGGUACAUCCAUUUUUGGACAAAUGGAAGUGAAGUAUGUAGUAUUUUGGAACGGAGGGAGUAUAUG
rnacentral:pre_miRNA from 1 species